CUGGGACCCUUGAGUCCGCAGGCCGUCGCUCUAUCCACUGAGCCAAACCGGUCAGGGCCGCACUCGUUCUUUUAUCUCCUUUUUCUCAUUGAAUUAGCUCCAAAGUAAGAAUUUCCUGUCUUUCGUUUUUUAAAAAUUCACCUUUAUAUUGUUGAAAGUAUUUUAGAUCCCCUUUGUUUUUUUCCCAUUGACCCCCUCUAAGAAUUCCCUGUUUUUCAAAACUUUCUGUUUAAGGCCCUUUCCUUUCAAGAAAAUGUGUUUGAUUGAAGAUGUAUUAAGUAAUAGGAAAAGAUCUCUUGCUCACCAGAAUUAAGAGACUAGGAAAAGGCUGGGAGAACUCAUUCUACACUGAAGGUCAAUUGGCAAGCAUGUUUGCCAUGGUGAAAAAAUGUACAGAGAUUAAUAUUCUCUUUGGUGACAAUUUAUAAACAAAGCUAUUUAAACAAAAUGCAGGUAAGAGAUCCUUAUGUUUUCUUCAUAUAUCAUUUGCCCCAGCAAUAUGCAGGGACACAUCCCAGGAUGUGUAGGCUUCAGAGAUUCCUUUUCAAAAUGAUUACCCACCUCUGUCCUAUUUUACCAACAACAUUAUGAAGCUUUUUGUUUCUUGGGUAUAACCAAGUUUAUAUGCACUUACGUAUAGCACCAACUUUAAAGGGUUUUGGGGAGGAUUAAGUGAAUUCAUAUAUGCAAGCACGGACAAUAGUGCCUGGCACAGGGUAAGCUCUGUGCAAGUUUUGCUGCUAUUAUU